UUAAAACUAAACUGAAUUUGAAAACAAAAAGUCAAAACGAAAUAAAAAUAAAAACUAAUGAAAAAUGCAAAACUAUAAUAACCUUGGAACUCACUACCACACAGAAUAUGAAAAUCUUCAUGAGUUAGCGGUCCAUGACAGGCCUGAACUCGCCAAGACAGUCUGCAGUGCUGGGUCCAGCUCAUCCUCCAGGUGGAAGAGAGGCGGUCUGGAUGAGGACUCUUUGAUUGGGUCGGGCAGAGCCAUGAUACGCCCGUCGUCUCCAAACCACUUCCUCCCCUGCAGAAAUCACAAACACUCACAUUACACAUAACAGCAUUUGUUUUUUACAGGAUCAUUUUUAUAGAAGCAGACGGGUGGCCUCUCCCCCACAUACAGCCCCUCCUCCUCCAGGUAACGGGGACGCACAUUCUCGGGCAGCUUACUUGAGGCAGGAACUGUGUGACACAUGUCGCCUACUGUAGUCCAUAUACUCCGCCCUCCUCACUUCCAGGAAGUCCUGUGUUGAUUGGUCAAUGAUGAAAAAAUCCUCCUCCUCAUCUCUGACAAUCAGAAUUAAAGAACACAAACACAAGUCACCCUGGCUUCAGACUCUUCCUCUCCUUCACACUCUCUCUCUUCCUCCUCUUCUUCUUCAUCCUCUUUGUCUUCUUCCCCUGAUUCCCCCUCUCCUUCCUCCUCUGCUUCUGUUCUCCUGGAACGUCUUUUCUUGCGUCGGCGUUGCUGUUGAGGCUCUGGGUCAAAGUUGAAGGUGAAAGAAAUUGUACGCCUCUUCAGUGGUCGGCAAACCAGCCUCGGUCUGCUCAGAAACCAAACACACACACACACAUCUAUGUCAGGAUUGGAGGAUUUCUAGGGUGCUCUUCGUCCUCGCAGGAGAAACAGGCAUUUCUUACACUUUUGUCUUUGACUGCACGUCUGGCUGCAUCACGAAACUUCAGCCUGGCAGUGAAGGAUGAGUCUUCAUCAGCUCCGGAGAUCUGGAUGCCAUCUGGAGGAGGACACCAUGACAGGAUGUUUGUCCCCCCUGCUGUACCGAACCGUGACUUCAAAACCGAGACUGUGCAGGCGGCUGGCAGGCUCAGCGAUGCUCUCCUGCUCUAGAAGACUAGCGGCUUUAGACUGAAGAGACGGCACAAUCCUUCUCAGUCACACGCUGUCUCAUGGUGGUCUCUGAUUGGCUGGAUCCUGGCCUCAUUACAGGACGAGGAGGAAGAUCUAGAGAGAUUGUGAAGAAGAGAGAAUAGUGUGCACACAACCAAACGGAACAGCUUCACAUUAUG